AGACGGAUUAGAUACCCUGGUAGUCCACGCUGUAACGUUGGGCGCUAGGUGUGGGGAGCAUUCAUGUUUUCCGUGCCGUAGCUAACGCAUUAAGCGCCCCGCCUGGGGAGUACGGCCGCAAGGCUAAAACUCAAAGGAAUUGACGGGGGCCCGCACAAGCGGCGGAGCAUGUGGAUUAAUUCGAUGCAACGCGAAGAACCUUACCUGGGUUUGACAUGCACCAGACAUCCCUAGAGAUAGGGCUUCCCUUGUGGUUGGUGUGCAGGUGGUGCAUGGCUGUCGCCAGCUCGCGUCGUGAGAUGUUGGGUUAAGUCCCGCAACGAGCGCAACCCUCGUUCCAUGUUGCCAGCGCGUAAUGGCGGGGACUCAUGGGAGACUGCCGGGGUCAACUCGGAGGAAGGUGGGGAUGACGUCAAGUCAUCAUGCCCCUUAUGUCCAGGGCUUCACACAUGCUACAAUGGCCGGUACAGAGGGUUGCGAGACCGUGAGGUGGAGCGAAUCCCUUAAAGCCGGUCUCAGUUCGGAUCGGGGUCUGCAACUCGACCCCGUGAAGUCGGAGUCGCUAGUAAUCGCAGAUCAGCAACGCUGCGGUGAAUACGUUCCCGGGCCUUGUACACACCGCCCGUCACGUCACGAAAGUCGGUAACACCCGAAGCCCAUGGCCCAACCCUUUGGGAGGGAGUGGUCGAAGGUGGGACUGGCGAUUGGGACGAAGUCGUAACAAGGUAUCAUCUU
rnacentral:rRNA from 1 species